UGGCUCAGUUGGUAGAGCAUGGUGUUUGCAACGCCAGCAUGGUGUGUGCAACACCAGGGUUGUGGGUUCGAGUCCCAC
rnacentral:tRNA from 1 species